UAUCCAACAUUUUCAUAAUACAUUUAUUUAUUAUAAAUCAAAGUUUUAAUACAUAAAAUGUACAACUUUACAAAUUUAAGAAAUAGUAAUGGAAAAAUAGUGUUUAAAAUAUGAUUUUAUGUUUUUAAUGAGAUUAAAGAAAGAGAAACUUGAGUAGUCAAGUAUUGGACCCAAAUGUCAAAUAAUUUUAAUUGGGGAUUUUUAUAAAAUUAAGAAAGUUUGGCUAAAGGGCUUAUUUGAAAAGAAUUUUAGUAUUUUGGGUCCAAGUGUAAUUUUUAAAAAUAAAUAAAUAAAAAAAAAAUAAAAUAAAAUAAAAGGCUUCAGCCUUUCAUUUUACCCGAGCCCCUCUCUCUCUCUCCUCAGAAACCCUCUCUCUCUCUCUCCUCAGAAACUCUCUCUCUCUCUCUCUCUCUCUCUCUCUCUCCUCUGCGUAUUACUGUUGCCGACGACGCAGGAGUACUUUCCGGCCACCAUUUUUAGCCACGCGCCGGACCGUUGGAUUCAGAGGCCUCCGAACUAUCGACCAACGCGGGAAUCUAGAGCUCACUCGCCGAUUAAACGCCUCAACCACUCGAUUUAAGUUCGGCCACCCCGCGACUUCAAAGUUGCGAUUCGGCCACCUCGGGCAUCCGUUUGCCGAUCCGUCACCACCAUCGUGCUCCUCGUGUUGUGGGCUUCAAAACCCAAUAACUUGUUCCUACAUCUACCAUAGUUGGGUCGACGAGCCACCGCGAUCCACCGUAGAUCGACGGUCGAAACUUAGUGUUCGAGGUUCCGAAGUACGUUUUGAGUCUCAGAAAAUCAUCGUUUGACUUAUUGUGGAACCCGAUCAUUUUGGAUUUGUAUGGAUUUGAUUGAUUGACUCUUGGUGAGGAAUUUUAAAAUAAGCUAAGGACCUAAGGUGUGGCUUUAGCUGUUGAGCAACUUGUGGAGCACGGACUCAGUAGCAAUGCAAUAAUGGUUUUAGAGUUUUCAUAUGGCUGCCUUAAAUUUAAAGUAUUCAUACGUGUAAUAAUUUCUUCUAAUAAGUUUAUAUAAAAGUUUUAAAUUUUUCUGUA